UACGAGAGGGGCAAGCGUUAUUCGGAAUGAUUGGGCGUAAAGAGCACGUAGACUGUUUAGAAAACUAUCAAGAAAAAACUCAAAGCUCUACUUUGACACUUCUCCCCGGUUGCUAAACUAGAGUCAGUAAGAGGAGAAUGGAAUUCCUGGUGUAGAGGUAAAAUUUGUUGAUAUCAGGAGGAACACCAAAGGCGAAGGCAAUUCUCUGGUACUGGACUGACGUUGAGGUGCGACAGCGUGGGGAUCAAAAGGG
rnacentral:rRNA from 1 species